AUGCGCAAGAAACGCCCACCGAAUUUCCUACUUUCAUUUUUGAAAAAUCUUCUAUUUGGAGAUAGAUUUGUACGCAUCUAUUUACAUUUUAUCUGCGAAAGAAAAUACACUUGCUCAGUUGCUGAAGUGGCUCUCUUUCUCGUCCUUAAGAGCACACAUAACUUCUAAAACGUAAAAAAAACAUGUGAAAGAAAAAGGAAACUAGAUAUUUGAGAGAUAGAAAAUAGAAGAAAAGGAAAAGGUUAAUCAAGAUUUAGUGCUGGCCACACAAUUAAGAAAGAAUAAGAACAAGAAUGUCUUUACAGAAUAGGGGAGACUAUUUUACUGCACUUAGAUUUGUGUUUUUGUUAUAAUUAACUGAUAUUGUAAUUUGUCCUUGGAUAAAAUAUCUGCAAUGUGGAGGACAACUGAACUGUGGUCUUGUAUAUUGAAGACCUACACUGAUUUAAAAUGCAUAAACUUUAUACUACUGGAAAAUGGUUAUCGUUAAAGUAACAAACACAGAAUUUAUUUACAUGUAUAAAAUGUUAUCUGAAAGGUGAAAGGUGAAAGUAAACAGAUUCCUGGUUGUUUGAAUACAAAUCAAAGCAGUUGUAUUGUGUAGUUAAGAAUAUAUUUACGUUGUUUAUGCAUUUAUAUAUUGGAAUAUUUAGAAUUGUACAAUAUGUUUAAUUUUCUGAAACCUUCGUUCUAUGUUAUGUAGGUUUGAUUUUCAUGAA